UUACGGCCAUAUCAUGUUGAAACUCCGGCUCUCGUCCGAUCACCGAAGUUAAGCAACGCCGAGCCUGGUCAGUGCCUAGAUAAGUAACAGCAUGUGUAUACCAGGUACUGA